CUUCGGUGUCCAGGUCCCACCUAACACGAACAAUAGAAAUUAAUAUUACAAUUUCUUGUUAUUAUUAAUUCGGCGCCAUGUUAAUGGGUAGUAUCGAGUGCUAUUAAUUAAUUGAUUUAUCGCAUUAGUUUUCGUAGAUUAGUAAAGAAAACUUAUCCGAUAUCGUGUUGUGCAAUCAUCAGUGUGAAUUUGAACAGUGAUUGGAAUUGAAGUUGUACUUAGGAUUAGGAUUACGAAUGGAGUGAAGUAUAAAUCGUGUAUUUUGCAAUUAGUCAUCGAUCAUGGACCACAUCGAUAAUAGAUAAAUUUCGGCAUCGUCAUUCGACCGCAUUUCCAGGAAAGGAAAGCUGUAUCCUCUAGUCCAGUAACCCAACAGUCAGGUAUCGGCUUCUUCCAGAAUCACCGGCAUGCGUCAAGAGUGACACUCCACAAUUAACCAUUGUGGGAUGAUCACCAAUCCUUGUAUCACUUCAGGAACAUCGCAUCGUGGGAAAACACUUUUGUCAACAACGAGGGACCAUUUCUAAUGGGUGCGAAUAGCUCCCAACAGUAAUGGCCUACUAAUAACUGAAACUGUCUCCCAAGGCACAACAGUCCCUUCCAACGUCAAGAAUCAUCAUUCAUAGGCAAGACUUAUCCCUUCGCGAACAGGAACACCUUCAGUUUCUGGCUGUCGAAUGGUGGCAGUAACCAUUUGGAAAGUAUCCGAUUCUGCGAAACAUGGUCCCGGGGGUAAUCGGUCUAUUCCAGGAUCGCCUACAUAUGUCAAGAGAGGUUUAAGCUUGUAAUUACU